UGGGAUGUGGUUCAGUGGCAGAGCACUUAUCUCGUAUGAAUAAGACUCUGGGUUUGGUCCCUAGCAUCACAA
rnacentral:tRNA from 1 species